CUGUUCUGUGGUUCGUCUCGCUGUGGAUCAGCCUGGGCUCUAAGAAAAGAGGCUCAGAGCUGAGGCCUGUGAAGGGCUUUGAUGAACUAGGAUAUAAUAGUCGAAACACAAUAUGUUUUCUUCUCAAAACAUUGUAUAAUGGAUUAUUUUUUGAGCUUUUUUAGAAAUACGUCGACUUUUUGGAUUUUCGUCGGUUGAAUUUUUGGAUCUCCGGGACAGCAUUGCAAGCCUCGGACUCGACUACGGUGGAUGGCCGGCCGGUGGACAGGAUUUUCCGCGCGCCCUAUAGGAAAGUUGGGGGAAGCCUUGUCUGUUCAUUUAAUGUUUGUUUUUCAACGGGUUUGGGCUAUUUUUACUCAGAUAUCUUCUAUGUGUGAUUUAUGUGAGAUCAAAUCGUUGAAUCGUUGUCAAGGUUUUGGGAUUUUUGUUAAAAUGUGAAAUAUUGCAGUAGGCCACGUUUCGAAAGCAAUGUGAAAUUAAACGGUUUUGGCGGUUAAGUAACAUUAGUUGGCGAAUCGUUUUACUGAAAAUUUUGUUAAGUAAUCAACGUAUUAUGGUUACGACUCAUUUACAACCAACUUGAUGUAUUUUUACAUGUUUAUCUUAAAAUUUGACGUUUCAGAUGUCCAACUGGUGAUCUUAGCUUAAUGUUGGACUACCUUGACAGCAACCACGCUAUUUUCCGCGUCUGCUACUUUAGACUUCUUCAACAUUAACUGUAUUUAUGUGUCGUUGCUUUCAUGGCAUUAUAAAGCAUCUAAGUAGCGUCAAUUCUUCUUUAUAUGUGGGAUUUGCAGUAUAUAAAGUAGCUUGAUGCUUAGCCUGCUACUGAGCGUCAUGAAACAAAACGUUCAGUUAGCUGCUUACCAGAUAAUUACUGGCCAAUUAAAUCUCUAUUUAAGAAAGCCGAUUCUUAUUUUACUGUUCGGGCUAUUUCAGACGUAUUAUUUACAGUGGCAAUUUGUUCUAAGUUGUAUUUUAACGUCGCCGUGAGGACCGUAAUCAAGGCUGUAAUAGCUAGCAUACUGGGUCUGCAUUAGCGCUCAACAUGGCGGCGUUUAGCGUUAUGCUUCUUGUUGUGAACGAGAAAAGAUGGAGUCUGGAAUAUUCUUGUUGGCUAACUUGAGGAGCCUAAUUGCCACGCAUCUUCUGAAUGCGUCUUGUUCCGUGACAAAUAAAGGCACAGCUAUGUCAGUAUUUUAUAUUGCCUGUAUUAACGUCAUAGAAUGUUUAGUGUCGAAAGCGCUUGGAAGUUAGCUUGCUUGGAUUUCAGUAGUCUCGACUGUUCGUCGGUGUCGAAAGUUGAAGCCAUUUUGCCAGAUAACUACGUUCAUUUUGGUCUAUUGUUGGACAGAUAAGCUUGCUGUUUAGUCAGUAUUCGAUUAUAAACACCUGUAUUUAGUGUGGUGAUCAUUAUGAUGGCAUACUCCCUUUUUUAUUAAGUCCUUUGGCUAUUUAAAGUUUGGGUGUUACGGUUUAAGUCUUAAUCUUGGCUUGGCUAGGAAAUACCUUUAGCUUGUUAUACAAUAGAUUGUGGCCAAAGGGAAGGUAACGUUUGGCCGGUGCUGUUGACGAUCUAAUAUCCACAAGGAAAACGCUACACUGGUAAUGUAAGUUCUUUUAGAAGCCAUAAAUGACAGUCGUCCCAUUAAAGCAGUAGUGGGCUGUUUAGCAUAACGUACUGCAAUACGUUUUUGUUGACCCUUUGUGUGUUUUAGCUUAAUUCUGUAAAAAGGAAGUGGAAGUAAAGUAAACACUACACAGUAGUUGAACCACCACAGUGGUAGGAUUGCAUAAUGUCAAUCUGGUGUAGUGUUCAUUACAUGUAAUGACUCUGUAACAGUGCCCAGAAGAACAUUUUGUCACAUUGUAUGACACUUUCCACUGCCUUUUGUUUAAAUAAAGAAACUAAAGCAACAUGAUGGUGUAUGGGUUGUUUCAUCUUUUGCAAAUUUUUCCAAGUUAAUUUUUCUGUGUCAGUGUUAACCUGCCAGACAUGCUUUAGCUGGUGCAUGGGGCAUGUUUCUCAGCUGUCACCAGCAUGAACAUGCUUGUUUGCCAUCAUCUGUUUUUCUUUGACAGGUUCAUCAGAGUGGAAACCUCACUGAGGCUCAGAUGCAGGGAUAGAUGCCACAUCUUCAGUGUCCAUGUGAAGUCCAGCCAUGUUCUCUUUUGAGUUAUUUUAUUAAACUGAGAAAACUACACGCCUGCCAGUGAGAAUGAUCACCAUUGCACAUUUUCAAUGCGGAAACGGGUCCCGGAAGGCUGUCAAACAUGCUCCCUCUACUGCUCCAAGGAGGUUAAUGCAUAGAGGACCACUGGUGUCAGAGCUGUCAGGCCACAAAAGCAGGACUUGUUGCAUCGUCCUUGUAAAGCCACCGCUUCCUCUUUAAGAAACCACUGACAUUUGAACUCCUUGAACAUUGUUUGACUUCCCACUUUGAUCUCAGUCCAAGUCAGCUGGAGAGCAGAUUAGUCAUGCUUUCGUUGACAUCACUGAGGA